rnacentral:lncRNA from 1 species
AGCUAGGGUCUAGGAUGGAGUUCAACAUGCAGGAAGCCCUGGGUUUGAUCCACCAAACUACAUAAAUUGGGUAUGGUGACACAUAUCUGUGAUCCCAGAUCUUCAGGUGUGUAGGUAGGAUGAUCAGAAGGUCAAGGUCAACCUUAGAUACAUAGGGAGUUUAAGGGUAGCUACAUGAGACUCUGUCCCAAAAAGAAAACUCCAAGGUGCUACCUCACCAGAGUAGGCUGUGGACGAUGAGCUGCUGCUUCGGGAAUAACCAACAAGCAAGAAGCUGCCUGCUGUGUCGGGAAACCCGGAUACCUGCGAGCUCCAGAACCUCACCAGCUCUGCCAGGGGCUGUGGCCACAGAAAUGAAGGACUCACUUCCUGUUCCAUGCCCAUGUAACUCCAGUAAAGUCUCAGCUGCACUUUCAAGACACUGGCAAGGAGCCAGAGUGAGAGGUGAAUCCCUUCAUGUUUGUGCAAGACUCUCAUCACCAACGUUCUGCAAGAGAAGUCAGCCCUCAACCUGAACUGCCUCAGCGGAAUACCUUUUAGACUUCUGAGACAAAGUAUCAUAGGCCAGGCCUUUCUUGAUCUUCCAACUCUCUUACCCCUCUGCUAUCUGAGUGCUGGGCAGUGGGCAUAUACCACUAUGCCCAGCUACAAACUUAGAAUAAAAAACCCAAACUUGUUAGUACCCAUUGAGACUAAAGUCUAAAGUGAAUU